GGCCGCCUGGCGAAAUGGCAUCGCGUCUGACUACGACUUGCCUAAGUGCAGUAUUCCAGUAAUCAGGAGAUUGCAGGUUCGACCCCUGCGGUGGUCA